GGCGACGGUCAGGGCCGCGCCUGCUGUACGAAGAGAAUCGACUGGUUAAAAUCGAUUCAGGUACACAGUAUGUGCAGAGCAGAAAUCAAAUCCGUUCCAAUCAUGGUGCAAGAUUGAAUGUGAUGGAUAUGACAGAACAUGACCAUGGUAAAAAUGAUGGUCCAGAAACGGUCCUCCUUGUGCAUCGGAGGGUAACGAUGGGAGCCGCACUGUGUCGCAGUCACAGC